CCAGACUCCUACGGGAGGCAGCAGUGGGGGAUAUUGCACAAUGGGGGGAACCCUGAUGCAGCGACGCCGCGUGGGUGAAGGAGCGUUUCGGCGCGUAAAGCCCUAUCGGCAGGGAAGAAGGAGGACGGUACCUGACUAAGAAGCCCCGGCUAACUACGUGCCAGCAGCCGCGGUAAUACGUAGGGGGCAAGCGUUAUCCGGAUUUACUGGGUGUAAAGGGAGCGUAGACGGCAGCGCAAGUCUGGAGUGAAAUCCCAUGGCUUAACCAUGGAACUGCUUUGGAAACUGUGCAGCUGGAGUGCAGGAGAGGUAAGUGGAAUUCCUAGUGUAGCGGUGAAAUGCGUAGAUAUUAGGAGGAACACCAGUGGCGAAGGCGGCUUACUGGACUGUAACUGACGUUGAGGCUCGAAAGCGUGGGGAGCAAACAGGAUUAGAUACCCCUGUA
rnacentral:rRNA from 1 species